rnacentral:lncRNA from 1 species
CCAGAAGGUGUAAACCAAAAGAAACUCAAUGAUACAGCAACAAUAAACUUCACAGUUCUUGAUGCAGAUGAUUUAAACCCUGUUUUUACCAGGAAGAAAUAUUACGCUUUAGUGAACCACAACGCCGAACUGGGGACGAUUUUAGCAGUAGAACCACCGAUCGAAGCUUACGACCCAGACUACACUUUUAACGAAACAAUCAAAUUUUCUAUUGAUGAUGCUGAUAGCAUUCCAUAUGAAAUUCAACCCUAUAACGGUACAGUUUACAUAAAGAAACACCUGGAAGUCGGAUCUACUACUUAUGUGG